rnacentral:tRNA from 1 species
GGGCCUGUAGCUCAGUCCGGUAGAGCACCGCCCUUGCAUGGGCUCAACCUUUGCGCUCUUUCCUAACAAUUUGAGCAAGCUGAGUAACAAGUGAGGCGGGGGCCGUGGGUUCAAAUCCCGCCGGGUCCA